GUAACACGUAGUCAACCUACCCUGUAGACACGGAUAACCCCGGGAAACUGGGACCAAUCCGUGAUAGGUCACUUCAUCUGGAAGGAGAGGUGGUCCAAAGGGGAAUCGUGGGCUUCCACUUUUCUCGCUACAGGAUGGGACUGCGGCCGAUCAGGCUGUUGGCGGGGUAAUGGCCCACCAAACCUGUAACCGGUACGGGCCUUGAGAGAGGUGGCCCGGAGAUGGACACUGAGACAAGGGUCCAGGUCCUACGGGGCGCAGCAGGCGCGAAACCUUCGCAAUGCGCGAAAGCGUGACGAGGUUAAUCCGAGUGGCUUCCGCUGAGGAAGUCUUUUGCCGACUGUAAAAAGGUCGGAGAAUAAGGGGAGGGCAAGUCUGGUGUCAGCCGCCGCGGUAAUACCAGCUCCUCGAGCGGUCGGGGCGAUUAUUGGGCCUAAAGCAUCCGUAGCCUGUUCCGUAGGUCUCCUGCAAAAUCCAGUCGCUCAACGAUUGGCCCGCAGGAGAUACCGCGGGACU
rnacentral:rRNA from 1 species